rnacentral:rRNA from 1 species
GGGCAACCUGCCUGUAAGACUGGGAUAACUCCGGGAAACCGGUGCUAAUACCAGAUACAAUCAAAGACCGCCUGGUCUUUGAUGGAAAGGUCUUGUACCGCUUACAGAUGGGCCCGCGGCGCAUUAGCUAGUUGGUGGGGUAACGGCCUACCAAGGCGACGACGCGUAGCCGACCUGAGAGGGUGAUCGGCCACACUGGGACUGAGACACGGCCCAGACUCCUACGGGAGGCAGCAGUAGGGAAUCUUCCGCAAUGGACGAAAGUCUGACGGAGCAACGCCGCGUGAGUGAUGAAGGCUUUCGGGUCGUAAAACUCUGUUGUCAGGGAAGAACAUCCGGGAUAACCUCCCGGUCUGACGGUACCUGAUCAGAAAGCCCCGGCUAACUACGUGCCAGCAGCCGCGGUAAUACGUAGGGGGCAAGCGUUGUCCGGAAUUAUUGGGCGUAAAGCGCGCGCAGGCGGUUUCUUAAGUCUGGUGUGAAAGCC